rnacentral:rRNA from 1 species
UACGUAGGGGGCAAGCGUUGUCCGGAUUUAUUGGGCGUAAAGCGCACGCAGGCGGUCAAGGAAGUUCAGGGUGACAGUUCCCGGCUUAACUGGGGAAGGGCCUUGAAAACUCCUGGACUUGAGGGCUUCAGAGGGACACGGAAUUCCGGGUGGAGUGGUGAAAUGCGUAGAGAUCCGGAGGAACACCAAAGGCGAAGGCAGUGUCCUGGGAAGCAUCUGACGCUCAGGUGCGAAAGCUAGGGGAGCGAAC